AAUCUACCGCCCAAUGAAAUGAUACAAGAGCUGGAACUUUGGGAACCGACUCCAAGAUCUCACUGCAGUGCUCCCUAGUCAGAGCCCUGUUGGUACCUAUGAGUAAGAGACUUGAGACUGUGCGUGGCCUCAGUGACCGUUGGAACUUACGGCGCCAUCGCUGGGCGCACACAAACUCGCCUGGCAAUGCCUGCUAUGCUCCCAAAGACCUCUCAGACCUCCAUCAGUGCCAACUUCCCAGCCUGCCUCAGCGGAAGGACUUCCGGGAGGACACGGUGGACAUCCUCACGGGAAAAGAUUCCCCAGUGGAACCCUGCAGCAGCAUUUCUGCCCAAACAACUGACUCCCGCUUGAGUCAGAAGAGGAGACAGAAGACACAUUGGCCAUCUGAAGGCAGAGACUGAAGUUACAAGUCUACAGGCUAAAGAAUGGCAGUCGAGGAACAAAUCUCUCCCGGGGCCUCCAGAGACAGUGAACCCUGAGAUGCUUUGACUUCAUAAACUUCUUGCCUCUAGAAGAUGGGAAGGCCCCUGGGAAGGAGGCAUGGGAAACAGGUACCUGGCUGAAGAACUGCGUCAUAGACCGUAGGCACUGCUUUCGUCUCUGUUCCAGCUGCUUCUGCUUGUCCGUCCAGCUGUGCAUCACCUUCUUCUGGUACUGGUCAAUCCUAUCAAGCAUCGUGUACAAGCUCUGAACCUCGUACCCUUUCCCAGUGUUUUGGAUGGUUUUCACUCGUUUGGUUAGGUGGUUUCUUGGGGAAAAAAAAAAAGAAAGAAAGAAAGAAAAAGAAAAAAGAAAUCAAGAAUCAAGAAUUAGAUCAAGAGAUAGUUCUCAAAGCCGAUGUAUCACACCUGACUCCGUUUCUUAGCAUUCCUAUAUCAUUCUGAGUUAGCAGGAAGUAGGACAGGGCACGGGAGACUUGUUUAGUUAGGCCUUUGUCUAAUUCCCUGUAAGUAUACAUUUCUAUGCCCAGUGGUAGUGUGGCUUUAAUCCCAGCACUCAGAGACAGGGGCAGGCAGAUAGAUC